ensembl:lncRNA
CUGACAUCCUGGAAAGUGACAGAGCCAUGCAGCUGUUCCCUGGGGAGGCUGUGGCCCCCUGACAGCGGGAUGCAGGGACUCAGGGCCAUGUACUCGAAGACUCGGGUGCCUGCACUGAGGCCCCGCACCACCUGCAGGGGAAUCCAGCAUCUGUGUGAGGUAGGAUGGGGCAUCUCCGUGGAGUCAGACUGUGAUUUUGGGGCUUCAGAACCCCAUAUGCAGCCAUAGGCGUGUGCCAGGGCAGCACAUAGGACCCUGCCCAGGAUGGAACCACAGCCCAGACCCCAGCGCCCAUGUGGCGACACUUCCCACUCACCUGACCAAACAGAACAGAGAGGUUGGCCAUGGACCUGCGGGGAGGAGAGGGGUUGGGAGAGGUGGGGACAAGAGGCAGAGAGGAAGGACACAGCGAGGGACACAAGGGAAUAUAGGGGACUUGAGGCCAAGUGCAGAGAUGUCUCCCCAGACCUGGGACUGCAGGAACGUGGGACCUCAGGACACAAGUCCGCUGAGCCCUCGGCCCCCUCCUGGGUGGUGUGAGGUGACAACUGAGAGAGAACCUGACUUAUCCCAGGACCCAGGAGGGAGCUCCAGGAGGCAGUGGGCACGGGAUGGGGCCUAGGAAGGUAUCAGUGUGGCUCACAGCACAAGGGAUGACAGAGGUUCAGGAGGAGGGACCCUUGCUCACCCCACGACCCCCUGCCUGGGCCCCAGUGACAACAUAGAUGCUCUUGGCAGAGAUCCAGAUAGUGUGGCCUACAGUGGGAGGUGAGACCUAAGACCUCAUCUCAGAAAACAAACAAACACAAAGGAAGUGAAGUCUGUUUAGAGAAAGAAAACAAAGACACGGGGGGUCACAGGGGAGAACUCUGGGGAUACCCCAAAACAAAACUCCCCGACCAAAUGUGUACUGUGGGCUGGCCUGCAGGUGUGCAAGUGUGGGAGAUGGAUGGGUGUUUAUCUGUCUAGACAGUGGGUCACCUCCCUUUGUCCCAGCAGGGCUGGGGAUAGGGCUGGUAUGCUAGGGAGGAAGAUGAGUCAACAGCUGCUUACUCAUGGGUCCUCGACUGGCCGGCUGCUGACCCAUGACCGUGUGUGCACCACGGAGUAAGCAGGGUCUGCUCUGAGAAGAGAAAAGGCUGACUCCCCAGUGACUCUUGGGCAGAGGGACUCACUUCUUCCAGUGUGGGGGCAGGGAGGAUCCCUAGCGCUCACAGGAAAUGGUACUGGCAGGAAGCAAUCUGCACUUGGAGGGAAGAGUGGGGAGACAGGGCAGGGGAGGAGCCCAGAAUUAUCUGGGGGCGGGGGGAGCUCCACUGAGCUCUGGAAGCCAUUAUGGCCUGGCAAAGGGGCCGCCACUGGAAGAGCCCAAGACGCGCAUGACUCAUUGCUGCUGCGGGAUGACCUUGCUUAGAGAUACCGCAGGAUGCGGGGCUGUGAUCUGCCCAGGUGGGGCCUGGCCCCAGUGCUGCCAAAAGGACACUUGGGAUGGGCCCAAAGGUUGGGGCUGCCCUGGUGUCCCCAUGUCCCCCUUGACUGACAUGCGUGCCCCUGGCUGCAUGUACAAUCAGAAGGAAACAGCAGCUCCCUGAUUUGUGCAGGUGCCUGACGGGGCCCGGGUGCUACUGCAGCUUGAUCCUAAUUCUGCUAAACAGCUGAGCAACGAAGUGGGGAGAUGACAAGUCUGUCCUCAGGCCAGAGAGGGGACAGGGGCUCAGGGAGUAAGCCCAGGGCUGAUUUUAAGGGGGCUGGCAGGUUUCCUGGGGGGGUCCUCAGGAUAGAAACAUCAUCCUGCUUGGAGAGGCCAAACAUGGCUGUUCAGGAAACUGGGUCAGCACUGGGGGCGCAGCACAUGGUGUGUGGAGAGCAGAAGACACCCAGCUCCACCUCUCCCUGCGGUCAGAGUAUCUGGAUCCUAACCCCAGGGAACAGUUCCCAGGCUGGAGGAGGGAGGAGCCACCCAGGACAAGAGAGGCUUCAAGCAUGCAAGGUUGGGGGUAGGGGGUAGCAGGGCAGGGGUGGGGAUUGUGUAGCCACAGAGAUGGGGCCAAUGUGCCUUGCAGGACGCUGCAUGGGCCAAGAAAGGGUGCUUCUGUCUGGGGUGAUAACGGAGUCUGUCUCCUCUUCCUCUGAGUUAGCACAGUAAGCCCAGGAUAUGAGAGUCUGUAAAAAACCACAAGCCAGGUGUGGGUGGUGCAUGCCUGUCAUCGUAGCACUCGGGAGGCUGAGGCAGGAGGAUUGCUGCAAGUUCAAGGCCAGGCUUGGUUGCACAGUGGGACUAUCUGAAAAAAACCUCCCAAAUACCACAAACAUACAACAGUGGCAAGAUAGACUCUGGGCAGGGACAGGGGCACCACCAGAAUCACCUCCAGAUGGAGGGUGGGUACCAGUGGGGGAGGGACCUGGG